UACGUAGGAGGCAAGCGUUGUCCGGAAUUACUGGGCGUAAAGCGCGUGUAGGUGGUGGGACAAGUCUGCUGUGAAAGCGCCUGGCUUAACCGGGCGAGGUCGGCGGAAACUGCCUCACUUGAGGACGGUAGAGGGGGGUGGAAUUCCCGGUGUAGUGGUGAAAUGCGUAGAGAUCGGAAGGAACACCUGUGGCGAAGGCGGCCCCCUGGGCCGGCCCUGACACUGAGACGCGAAGGCGUGGGGAGCGAACGGG
rnacentral:rRNA from 1 species